rnacentral:rRNA from 1 species
UUUAAUGGAGAGUUUGAUCCUGGCUCAGGACGAACGCUGGCGGCGUGCCUAAUACAUGCAAGUUGAGCGGAGUCUUACACUUUCUUCGGAAAGUGUUUGGCUUAGCGGCGGACGGGUGAGUAACACGUAGGUAACCUGCCCAUAAGACUGGGAUAACCCACGGAAACGUGAGCUAAUACCAGAUAGGCAUCUUCUUCGCAUGAAGGAGAUGAGAAAGACGGUUUCGGCUGUCGCUUAUGGAUGGACCUGCGGCGCAUUAGCUAGUUGGUGAGGUAACGGCUCACCAAGGCGACGAUGCGUAGCCGACCUGAGAGGGUGAUCGGCCACACUGGGACUGAGACACGGCCCAGACUCCUACGG